rnacentral:rRNA from 1 species
UACAGGGGGUGCAAACGUUGCUCGGAAUCAUUGGGCGUAAAGCGCACGUAGGCGGUUCGUUAUGUCGGAUGUGAAAGCCCUUGGCUUAACCGAGGAAGUGCAUCCGAAACUGGCGAGCUAGAGUACGAAAGAGGAUCGCGGAAUUCCUGGUGUAGCGGUGAAAUGCGCAGAUAUCAGGAGGAACACCAAUGGCGAAGGCAGCUCGCUGGGACGUGACUGACGCUGAGACGCGAAAGCGUGGGGAGCAAACAGG